rnacentral:misc_RNA from 1 species
UUGAAGGGAACAAAUCACUGAGGGUACAUCUUGUCUUGUUUAUCUACAAUGUUCUUUCAGUGUCAGAAAUUUAUCAAUUUUGUGGUAACUUAAUUGUUCAUGUGGAGAUAAGAGACUGAAUUUGUGGCUUUCCUCGCUCUUGUUUUAACUAAGUGGCCUAGAUGGUAUCUCUUAGAUCGCCAGUGACCAGCUUGACGUCCCAUUUCUG